AUUGAACGCUGGCGGAAUGCUUUACACAUGCAAGUCGAACGGCAGCACGGGAGCUUGCUCCUGGUGGCGAGUGGCGAACGGGUGAGUAACAUAUCGGAACGUACCCAGUAAUGGGGAGUAACUGAGUCGAAAGAUUAGCUAAUACCGCAUACGCCCUGCAGGGGUGAAAGGACGGGGAUCGGUAAGACCUCGCGUUAUUGGAGCGGCCGAUAUCUGAUUAGCUAGUUGGUGGGGAUAAAGGCCAGUCNCCAAGGCGACGAUCAGUAGCUGGUCUGAGAGGACGACCAGCCACACUGGAACUGAGACACGGUCCAGACUCCUACGGGAGGCAGCAGUGGGGAAUUUUGGACAAUGGGCGCAAGCCUGAUCCAGCCAUUCCGCGUGAGUGAAGAAGGCCUCGGUUGUAAGCUCUUCGCAAGGAAGAAACGAUACGAGCGAAUAACUCGUGUU
rnacentral:rRNA from 1 species